UUAAGCGACUAAGCGUACACGGUGGAUGCCCUGGCAGUCAGAGGCGAUGAAGGACGUGCUAAUCUGCGAUAAGCGUCGGUAAGGUGAUAUGAACCGUUAUAACCGGCGAUUUCCGAAUGGGGAAACCCAGUGUGAUUCGUCACACUAUCAUUAACUGAAUCCAUAGGUUAAUGAGGCGAACCGGGGGAACUGAAACAUCUAAGUACCCCGAGGAAAAGAAAUCAACCGAGAUUCCCCCAGUAGCGGCGAGCGAACGGGGAGCAGCCCAGAGCCUGAAUCAGUGUGUGUGUUAGUGGAAGCGUCUGGAAAGGCGCGCGAUACAGGGUGACAGCCCCGUACACAAAAAUGCACAUGCUGUGAGCUCGAUGAGUAGGGCGGGACACGUGGUAUCCUGUCUGAAUAUGGGGGGACCAUCCUCCAAGGCUAAAUACUCCUGACUGACCGAUAGUGAACCAGUACCGUGAGGGAAAGGCGAAAAGAACCCCGGCGAGGGGAGUGAAAAAGAACCUGAAACCGUGUACGUACAAGCAGUGGGAGCACGCUUAGGCGUGUGACUGCGUACCUUUUGUAUAAUGGGUCAGCGACUUAUAUUCUGUAGCAAGGUUAACCGAAUAGGGGAGCCGAAGGGAAACCGAGUCUUAACUGGGCGUUAAGUUGCAGGGUAUAGACCCGAAACCCGGUGAUCUAGCCAUGGGCAGGUUGAAGGUUGGGUAACACUAACUGGAGGACCGAACCGACUAAUGUUGAAAAAUUAGCGGAUGACUUGUGGCUGGGGGUGAAAGGCCAAUCAAACCGGGAGAUAGCUGGUUCUCCCCGAAAGCUAUUUAGGUAGCGCCUCGUGAAUUCAUCUCCGGGGGUAGAGCACUGUUUCGGCAAGGGGGUCAUCCCGACUUACCAACCCGAUGCAAACUGCGAAUACCGGAGAAUGUUAUCACGGGAGACACACGGCGGGUGCUAACGUCCGUCGUGAAGAGGGAAACAACCCAGACCGCCAGCUAAGGUCCCAAAGUCAUGGUUAAGUGGGAAACGAUGUGGGAAGGCCCAGACAGCCAGGAUGUUGGCUUAGAAGCAGCCAUCAUUUAAAGAAAGCGUAAUAGCUCACUGGUCGAGUCGGCCUGCGCGGAAGAUGUAACGGGGCUAAACCAUGCACCGAAGCUGCGGCAGCGACGCUGAUGCGUUGUUGGGUAGGGGAGCGUUCUGUAAGCCUGCGAAGGUGUGCUGUGAGGCAUGCUGGAGGUAUCAGAAGUGCGAAUGCUGACAUAAGUAACGAUAAAGCGGGUGAAAAGCCCGCUCGCCGGAAGACCAAGGGUUCCUGUCCAACGUUAAUCGGGGCAGGGUGAGUCGACCCCUAAGGCGAGGCCGAAAGGCGUAGUCGAUGGGAAACAGGUUAAUAUUCCUGUACUUGGUGUUACUGCGAAGGGGGGACGGAGAAGGCUAUGUUGGCCGGGCGACGGUUGUCCCGGUUUAAGCGUGUAGGCUGGUUUUCCAGGCAAAUCCGGAAAAUCAAGGCUGAGGCGUGAUGACGAGGCACUACGGUGCUGAAGCAACAAAUGCCCUGCUUCCAGGAAAAGCCUCUAAGCAUCAGGUAACAUCAAAUCGUACCCCAAACCGACACAGGUGGUCAGGUAGAGAAUACCAAGGCGCUUGAGAGAACUCGGGUGAAGGAACUAGGCAAAAUGGUGCCGUAACUUCGGGAGAAGGCACGCUGAUAUGUAGGUGAAGCGACUUGCUCGUGGAGCUGAAAUCAGUCGAAGAUACCAGCUGGCUGCAACUGUUUAUUAAAAACACAGCACUGUGCAAACACGAAAGUGGACGUAUACGGUGUGACGCCUGCCCGGUGCCGGAAGGUUAAUUGAUGGGGUCAGCGCAAGCGAAGCUCUUGAUCGAAGCCCCGGUAAACGGCGGCCGUAACUAUAACGGUCCUAAGGUAGCGAAAUUCCUUGUCGGGUAAGUUCCGACCUGCACGAAUGGCGUAAUGAUGGCCAGGCUGUCUCCACCCGAGACUCAGUGAAAUUGAACUCGCUGUGAAGAUGCAGUGUACCCGCGGCAAGACGGAAAGACCCCGUGAACCUUUACUAUAGCUUGACACUGAACAUUGAGCCUUGAUGUGUAGGAUAGGUGGGAGGCUUUGAAGUGUGGACGCCAGUCUGCAUGGAGCCGACCUUGAAAUACCACCCUUUAAUGUUUGAUGUUCUAACGUUGACCCGUGAUCCGGGUUGCGGACAGUGUCUGGUGGGUAGUUUGACUGGGGCGGUCUCCUCCUAAAGAGUAACGGAGGAGCACGAAGGUUGGCUAAUCCUGGUCGGACAUCAGGAGGUUAGUGCAAUGGCAUAAGCCAGCUUGACUGCGAGCGUGACGGCGCGAGCAGGUGCGAAAGCAGGUCAUAGUGAUCCGGUGGUUCUGAAUGGAAGGGCCAUCGCUCAACGGAUAAAAGGUACUCCGGGGAUAACAGGCUGAUACCGCCCAAGAGUUCAUAUCGACGGCGGUGUUUGGCACCUCGAUGUCGGCUCAUCACAUCCUGGGGCUGAAGUAGGUCCCAAGGGUAUGGCUGUUCGCCAUUUAAAGUGGUACGCGAGCUGGGUUUAGAACGUCGUGAGACAGUUCGGUCCCUAUCUGCCGUGGGCGCUGGAGAACUGAGGGGGGCUGCUCCUAGUACGAGAGGACCGGAGUGGACGCAUCACUGGUGUUCGGGUUGUCAUGCCAAUGGCACUGCCCGGUAGCUAAAUGCGGAAGAGAUAAGUGCUGAAAGCAUCUAAGCACGAAACUUGCCCCGAGAUGAGUUCUCCCUGACUCCUUGAGAGUCCUGAAGGAACGUUGAAGACGACGACGUUGAUAGGCCGGGUGUGUAAGCGCAGCGAUGCGUUGAGCUAACCGGUACUAAUGAACCGUGAGGCUUAACCUU
rnacentral:rRNA from 1 species